CGCCCGUGCAUCAAGCCAAAAUAAUUGAUGUCGAUUGGCAGACGCCACGUAUGCCACCAAGAAAACCAUGCUCUCGUCAUUCAGAUUUUGUUCAUUUAGAUCCUUCAAGCUGAAAUCUUUUGCUUAGCGGCUCUGAUUAUAUUGAGUAACAGAACCACGUUCUUCUCACUAUUUAUCCAUGUGAUUAGGACAGCCAAAGAAGUGAGCCAUUACCGUGCAACUCUUGCUUGACUCGAAGCUUAGCUACUACAUAAGCGCUCGCCAUUGAUAUA
rnacentral:lncRNA from 1 species